rnacentral:rRNA from 1 species
UACAGGGGGGGCAAGCGUUGUUCGGAAUUACUGGGCGUAAAGGGCUCGUAGGCGGCCGACUAAGUCCGACGUGAAAUCCCGAAGCUUAACUUUGGAACUGCGUCGGAUACUGGAUGGCUUGAAUUCGGGAGAGGGAUGCAGAAUUCCAGGUGUAGCGGUGAAAUGCGUAGAUAUCUGGAGGAAUACCGGUGGCGAAGGCGGCAUCCUGGACCGACACUGACACUGAGGAGCGAAAGCCAGGGGAGCAAACGGG